rnacentral:lncRNA from 1 species
CUCCUACUCAUAAGCCAUAAAAUAAGCUUUGUGUUAUUUUUCUCUCCACCCUUAAAUUUAUUGUAUCCCCUACCCCAUAUCUAUUUUUCCUCUCUCUAUCAUCUUCCACCUUAAGAUUUUCAACAGUCCUGUCCUAACACAAGAAAACAUCACCUAUUUAAAUUUAAAACAAAAAUCUGCAACUGAAGCUGUUCAACCCUUUAGAAGCUGUUCAAUUGAAGUUGUUCAAGUCAAUAUCUUUCUGAGUUGAUUUGAGAUUUCAAAAAGUGAGGCAAGGCAAGAAAAAUCUACAUCUGAACUUGAAUUAGAAUUGAAAGGCUUAAGGCUAGGGCACAAUGAGUAGAAAUAGCGAUUUUCUCCUUUUGGAGUAGAAAUUAAGAGGAAAAGAGGGAAUAUGGGGAAAAUGGACCUUUUCUUUUUUGGAUUCUUGAUUUGGUUCUACUUAUCCUCCAGCUCAUCCUACAGAUUUUGAUACUGCUUCAAGCUCACAGCCGCCGCCGUGGACUACUUGUGGCCACGAUGCUUGUAAAUUUUGUCAAGAUUGUGGACUGUUGACUACGGAUCCGACGGCUUCUAUUUUAAAGAAAAGGUUUUUUGAAGCAGAGAUGAGGGUAUUAUGGUACCAUGAAUAGUGGAGUUUCGAGUAAGAAUCGCGGCUCUCUCGACGAGACGACAUUAGGGUUAUUCUUGAACAAAGACGACGGAGUUUGGGUCAGAGCAACUUGAAUUUUCUGUUAAUAUAUUUCAGUGUAUCUCGCUGUAUUUUCAUGUAUUUCAUUGUAUUCAUUGUUUUUUUUUCAUUGUAUUUUAAUGUAUCCCGAUGUAUUCUAUAUAUUUUAUUGUAUUCACCAUUUCAUUAUAUGCCAUGAAUGUAUUCAUAAGUUGUUUUAAUUAAUAUAAUUUAUGUACAUAUGUAUUAUAUAAUUUCUC